AGAGUUUGAUCAUGGCUCAGAACGAACGCUGGCGGCGCGUCUUAAACAUGCAAGUCGAAACGAUCUGUAGCAAUACAGGGAGUGGCGGACGGGUGAGGAACACGUAGGAAUCUACCUUGAAGAGCGGGACAACUUUGGGAAACCGGGGCUAAUACCGCAUAGUACAGAGAUGUUAAAGGGCUAGCAAUAGUCGCUUCGAGAUGAGCCUGCGGUCUAUCAGCUUGUUGGUGAGGUAAUGGCUCACCAAGGCUACGACGGAUAGCCGGUCUGAGAGGAUGAUCGGCCACACUGGCACUGAGACACGGGCCAGACUCCUACGGGAGGCAGCAGUUAAGAAUCUUGGGCAAUGGGGGAAACCCUGACGCAGCGACGCCGCGUGAAGGAUGAAGGCUUCGGUUGUAAACUUCGGUAGACUGGGAAGAAGAAAUACGUUCGUUGAGGGCGUAUAGUGACGGUACCAGUCUGAAGCCCCGGCUAAUUACGUG
rnacentral:rRNA from 1 species